AGCAUGGGCUCAGGAUUCACCUGCAAGUGAGGGUGUCAGACCCAGGGAAAUGGAGCAGCCUCUUACACCAGUAUUGAUCUGGAGCAACAGGUUCCUUCAGAAAUGUCUGUAAGUCAGAGCUGCCCGAGAACAUUGCAGAGCUGAGGCUUCCAAAAGCUUCAAAAUCUGUUUAUAAAUUACAUAAAUCUCUUUAUAAAUUUAUAAAUCAUAAAUGUAUGAAUUUACAGGGGUUUCCUGUAAAUUUAACUGACCUUUUUUUUCUUUAAAAUUAGGGGAUGUUCACAAGGCUGUGCACAAAAUAAGUCUGAAAAUUGUGGCUACUUCAAAUGAAAGUACAUGGAGAUAAUGUCUCAGUGUGGAGGUGGUGCCCUGAACACUGUUCUGGACAGUUCCUGCUCUCUCUCCAUGGAGGAUUUUGGCUGCUGUGCUUAAGAGCAAGUGGAGCUGCUUUGCUGCUUCAUUCCAAGUUUUCAUAUGACAAUGAAAAAAUGUUUUGGAUGAUCACAUUCUCUGGUGGGGCCUUUCCCUCAUUUGUGUUGUUAACCAACAUUAAGAUCUGCAUUUUCAUGCCAGCAAAGUCUCCACAGGUACUGCCAAAGUUCCAAAUUGAGGCAGACUUGAGACCCAACUUCCCUGAAAUGAGCCAUGACAAAAAGUUAACAGGAUCCAGCCACUCUGCUCUGAAAUACCUCAUCUGGGCUGAUUUCACAAAGCUGAAGGAGGGCAUAAUUCAGUCCUGUGGGUUGUGGUGGCCUUGGCUGUCAGAGUGUGGGGGUUUGCUGGCAAUAAUUUCUGUUCCAAGCCAAAAAAAGCACUCACGGAAGGAGGAGGCUGCACCCUGAAAUCUCCUGAGAUCUACAUGUGCCAGGGCCAGUGCUGGUGUGUGAAGAACCAUCCUCAGUGUCUGAAGAGGGCACAGGGACACUCUCACCACUAAUAAAGGGUUCUUUGGAAACCUCUCA
ensembl:lncRNA